AUUCGACUGUGAUUUUAAGUUAAUUUAAGAAUAUUUCAAAUAUAUUCAAGUUAAUUUUUUGAUUACUACAAAAUAUCGAGAUUGGCAACCCUGCGUUGCAAGAGAUUGCUCUCUCACUCUCAGCUCACUCGUUUCUACCUAAAAAAUCCAAAAACCAAUUUUCCCGGAUAUCCUACCGUACGGUCUGUUGAAGCGGACGGUAGAAGCGGUGGUGACUGUUCAUUUAUAUUGCGCUCACAUUCGGUCCACGGUUUUGUGUCGGUGACUCUUUGUGCCAUUAAUCUGGCCGUUCGAGUCGUUCCAAUCGCGAAACGUCAAAACAUACCCGAUCCAGUCAACUGUCAAAGUCGAGUAGAUGAGUUACUCUCUCAUUUCCAACGAUAUCAUCUCUUCAUCUCUAUCCACACCAUCAGCACUAUCUAAAAUAUCUUCACCAAUAAACAUAUGUAUUCAAUUACUUUGCAGAGAUGCCAACUGCUGCGAAAUAAGUAUGUGCGGCAAAGCCAGAUUAUUUUUUUUACGAAGGUUUUUUAUGCAAAGAAAAAUGAAGGUAUAUUUUUUUAAUAACACAUAUUUUUAACCAAUUAUGCGGGAAAAUCAAUUAACCGGGUUCAAUUAAGCGGGAAAUCGUACACGAAUUUUAUGUGCAAUAUAUUUUGGACCGAGUCAAAUAAGCGGAAAAAUCAAUUAAGGGGGGGAUACUGUACCUGCCUCACUCAUUGUGGUUGUAAUGCCGAAUUUAACAACAUCCGCCAAUUUUAACUUAAUUUUUUUCGAGACAUGCUUCAUAUAAGACGGUGGUAACCAAUUCACUACCACACUUAUAAAAUUUCACAUCUUACACCACUAUAUAUUCAAAACUAACUCUUUGUUUCUAAAUCGAAAAAUCGAUUGUAAGAGUAGCAACAUUCAUCAUGCAAAUUUUUGAAUUCAAAAGAAAGAGAUGCGCACAUAGACAAUGAAUCUGUCAAAAAAAUCGCUUAUUUGUUAAUUUUCAUAAAUGUUUCUUAAAUUAAACUAUUUUCAAAACAGGAAACAAGCAAACGAAGACCAUUUUGGAAGCACAAUACAAUAUUAAGCAACAAGAACUUAUUGUAUAGGAAAAGUAUAAAGUGCGAAACCAAUUUGGUUUUUUGGAUUGCGAGUUGCUUGGAUUGGAGUCGAAUUCAACUAAUUUAAAUCGUGCUGAAGUUGCGGUCAAACAGUUUCAAAAAAGUGAUAAGCAAAGAAAUGGCGAUUACUUCUCCACGCGUUUGAACGUUCAAGAGGAUGGCAUUAACUUGGUUUAAAUCAAGAAUAAUGUAGGACUGAUAACUAUAUCCAAGUUUAGCUUGUGUGGGUCACCAGAACUUCGAAGGUUUUCGCCGAUGAUGUUUCCGAACUGGAAAUACAGUGAGAUAAAUUAUGUGGCGAUCGCGAAGGGUUGUGUGAGAUAUUUCGCAAUGGUUAUUCCAAGGUUGUAUUGCCUUGCAGGGAUUUGUCAUCGUGGUGAGCAACGAUCAUCUUUUGUAACAGGCCAAUUAGAACGCCGCACUACUGUUUCAGUGUUUAGUGGGCUAUUAUGCGAAAGAUAUUCUACAUCAAGUGGUGCAGCGGAGAACGCCGAGAAUGCUUAGAAUGUGCUGUGUCGUUUGGAGCACAUCACCGUCAACAAUACUAUUUAUACGCAGAGGACUGUCAUCUCGGAGAACCAUGUCUACUAUAAGAUGCGCGUUUUCAAUCCAACACACAUUUGGCCAUGGUUGCUGCGUAUCGAAUUGAAAUAUUCCAAGUGUUUGGCAUUGAGGCUGUGCGUAAAUCGGUUGAGAAGUAAAUUAAUGCUGUGCUGAAGCUCUACGGGUUGUAUGUAAACUGUGAGCAUAAAAUUAAUAGUGGAAGACUUCUUCAAAUUAACCUAAAAUAUUUUGUUUGGUUAGAAAAUGUCCUCAGCUGAAAGUUUAACAUUUUGUUUAAUUACCUUAACAUAGGUAACCCAUGUUAAUCCUUUUUUUGGUUACCAAAACAAUGUUAAGGUAACAAAACAAAAUGAUACGGGAAGUAAACAAUGUUAACGUGUAGCCAAGGUAACCACCGUAAAUAACAUAUGUAUAUUAAGUACAUUUUAGUUUUUAAAAUAUAAAAAUUAAGUUAGCUAUUAAUAUGAAGUACAAAAUUAAUUAAUUAAAAAUAUUAUUGUUUAAUAAGGGUACAUGUAUGUACCUAAUGUUCGAAUAUUAACAAUUAAGUAUAAAAGUUUGAUAAUCAAUAUUAACUAUCUAUAAACCAUA